rnacentral:rRNA from 1 species
CAGUCGCCGCGGUAAUACGUAGGUGGCGAGCGUUGUCCGGAUUUAUUGGGCGUAAAGCGAGCGCAGGCGGUUAGAUAAGUCUGAAGUUAAAGGCUGUGGCUUAACCAUAGUAUGCUUUGGAAACUGUUUAACUUGAGUGCAGAAGGGGAGAGUGGAAUUCCAUGUGUAGUGGUGAAAUGCGUAGAUGUAUGGAGGAACACCGGUGGCGAAAGCGGCUCUCUGGUCUGUAACUGACGCUGAGGCUCGAAAGCGUGGGGAGCAAACAGGAUUAGAUACCCCAGUAGUCCCUGUCUCUUAUACA